rnacentral:rRNA from 1 species
AAACGGUGGCUAAUACCGCAUAACGUCGCAAGACCAAAGAGGGGGACCUUCGGGCCUCUCACUAUCGGAUGAACCCAGAUGGGAUUAGCUAGUAGGCGGGGUAAUGGCCCACCUAGGCGACAAUCCCUAGCUGGUCUGAGAGGAUGACCAGCCACACUGGAACUGAGACACGGUCCAGACUCCUACGGGAGGCAGCAGUGGGGAAUAUUGCACAAUGGGCGCAAGCCUGAUGCACCCAUGCCGCGUGUAUGAAAAAAGCCUUCGGGUUGUAAAGUACUUUCAGCGGGGAGGAAGGCGGUGAGGUUAAUAACCUUACCGAUUGACGUUACCCGCAGAAAAAACACCGGCUAACUCCGUGCCAGCAGCCGCGGUAAUACGGAGGGUGCAAGCGUUAAUCGGAAUUACUGGGCGUAAAGCGCACGCACGCGGUCUGUUAAGUCACAUGUGAAAUCCCCGGGCUUAACCUGGGAACUGCAUUUGAAACUGGCAGGCUUGAGUCUUGUAGAGGGGGGUAUAAUUCCACGUGUAUCGGUGAAAUGCGUAUAGAUCUGGAGGAAUACCCGUGGCGAAAGCGGCCCCCUGGACAAAGAC